GUCUGCUGCCAAUGCAUCUGCAAUUACCCAUUGCUAAUGCACUAACAGAGAAAAUCUGACUGGUAUUAGUAGCUCAGGCAUUGCUUCCCCUCCUGUACUAAUUUAAAUGUAGGUGUUGCAUUGAAGAUCCUGAAGCUGUGUUGACAAUCCUUGUUUUGUGGAAUAAUUCACUAGAAUGCUUGUUGUUGCUGUUUUUCAUGGAUGAUGGUAAUGUCAGUUAUCAGGCUAGUUCCAAACCAGGAAUCUGCUGCUCUAUGCUUUCCCACAUUUUCUCUCCCACUGUGGAUGUGACCUUGCAUGGAACUAGGAAUAAAUUUCAGCUAUGGAAACCAUCUCACCGUGUCAAGAUGAACCUGGGUCUCUAACAAGCAGUAUUCCAGGAGGGAGUUGAUGGCUUAAUAUUCUUUUAUUUCCCAUGGUCCUGGUUGCCUCACCAGUCCACAGCUAAUGGACAGAAAAGACUAUUUCAGUUUUCACAUCUCAGCACUUUCGGAAACCCCCUCCUCAAGCAUGUCUGCAAAUCAAUCUGGUUUUGUGUUUAAUGCAAGUUAUCAAUCAUCUUUUCAUGAACAAAUGGUUUCAUACAAAGGGGAAGGAAACAUUCUAAUGUAUUCAUUCUAUUAUUUUUCCUUGGAAAAGAUCCAGA
rnacentral:lncRNA from 1 species